rnacentral:rRNA from 1 species
AUUGAACGCUGGCGGCAGGCCUAACACAUGCAAGUCGAGCGGUAGAGAGGAGCUUGCUUCUCUUGAGAGCGGCGGACGGGUGAGUAAUGCCUAGGAAUCUGCCUGGUAGUGGGGGAUAACGUUCGGAAACGGACGCUAAUACCGCAUACGUCCUACGGGAGAAAGUGGGGGAUCUUCGGACCCCACGCUAUCAGAUGAGUCUAGGUCGGAUUAGCUAGUUGGUGAGGUAAAGGCUCACCAAGGCGACGAUCCGUAACUGGUCUGAGAGGAUGAUCAGUCACACUGGAACUGAGACACGGUCCAGACUCCUACGGGAGGCAGCAGUGGGGAAUAUUGGACAAUGGGCGCAAGCCUGAUCCAGCCAUGCCGCGUGUGUGAAGAAGGUCUUCGGGUUGUAAAGCUCUUUCGGCCGGGAAGAAAUCGCACAGGUUAAUACCUUGUGUGGAUGACGGUACCGGAAUAAGAAGCACCGGCUAACUACGUGCCAGCAGCCGCCGUAAUAC